rnacentral:rRNA from 1 species
UACGUAGGGGGCGAGCGUUGUCCGGAUUUACUGGGCGUAAAGAGCGCGCAGGCGGUCGCUCAAGUCGCGUGUGAAAGCCCCCGGCUCAACUGGGGAGGGUCACGCGAUACUGAUCGACUGGAAGGCAGGAGAGGGUAGUGGAAUUCCAGGUGUAGUGGUGAAAUACGUAGAUAUCUGGAGGAACACCGGUGGCGAAGGCGGCUACCUGGCCCAACUUGACGCUGAGACCCGAAAGCAUGGGGAUCAAACAG